CUCUUGACUGAAGAGUGAACUUCCCAGACUGAGGCUGCAGGGCCCUCAAAGACCGAGUCCUCCCAGCCCAUCCAGGACAUUGAGAACCUCUCCUAUGCCUUUGUGCGUGAGUAUAAGUCGAGCCACAGGUCGUCAAUCAAAAGACGCCACGACAAGUCUGACGAUGAAGAGGAAACAUUCCCAAGAGAACAGCCUAUCUUGUUCUCCUCAAAGAGAAGCGAACAAGCAGUCAACAAAUUCUGAAAAGGGCCCAACGCCAAAUCAGUGACGGAGGCAGAGAAAGACUGUGGUCUCAGGAGCACUCAGGAGCCCAUUGUUGUCCUUAAACCAUGGGUGACGAAACUCUUCUCCAUGCAGUUCCUUCCUAUUUUACCCCUGUAAAAGCCUAUAGGAAUAUCAAUUUACAAAUACUCAUUGAAAUGUAACUAUUGCACCACAGACUAAGACCUGGUAAUUGAUGUCAUUAUACUGAAGUGUGUCGUUUGAUCAUAAUCCUAAAGACAUAAGGUAAAGAUAAAUGAAGCUGUUGGUGCAUAAGAUUUCUCUUCAGUUUAAAAUGUGAAGUCUGGAGAAGGAGUUGCCUUGGCAACAAAGAGACUUGUAUGAUCAGACAAUGGAGUAAAUUGGUCUCUGGUUUAACAUGUGUGCAUUAUACUGCAUUAAAUAUUUUCAGUAGGGGUAAGUGUCUAUUUCUAAGUGCUACAAUGAAAAUACAGGUAAAUACAAGCCCCAUGAGAUAUCUCACACAAAUAUAGUUUCAAAAUUCACAUUAUACUGUCACAACUCAGCCUUACUUUUGUUGUACCUAGCCUUUGUCCCCUCUAUCUGAGUGUGUACCAGGGACGUCGCUAGGCCUAUUUUAGGGGGGCUUUAAAAUGUUCAUUAGCCCCCCAUAAAUAAAUCAAUAUCAGUCAAUAUAUUUCUUCUGUAAUUUUUUUUUUUCGUCAACCGUUCCAUCUUACAGGCUGACUACACCGCUUUAUAGAAGCAGGUACCUACGUGCCAUCUCCUCAUUGGUUAUACCCACGUGGGUGACUGAAAGACGAAUGAGGUCAGUGGCGGUAAUGCACCUAAUUUAUGAAAGUUGCCAAUCGCAAUAUAAAGUCAAGAGAAGAAAAAGCCUGGAAGGAAGAGAGAUGACUAGAAACGAUUCAGUCGACCGUUUUUAUGUGUGGAUUAAUUGGCGGAGUAGAGGACCUUGUGCAUUUCAGGUAAAAUAACUCAAUGUUUAUUUUUUAUUUUUUAUUUAUGAACAUAACAAAUACAAAAAAACAGAAAUAUACAAACAAGAGUACAUAAACCUAACAGACCGCUGUAUUACAUAUCAAGAUUAAUUUUCAAUUUGUUAAAUACUUCUAUGGUGCGUGUUGCUUUUUUGUUUUUACAUUUACUGAUCAUUUCAAAAUAAUAUUUCAAUUCUAUUUUAAAUAAUGUGAAGAGGGAUUUGUUCUCGGCCCACUUCAUUUUAUGGAAAAAGAAUCUUCCAUAAAAGAAACAAAUUAACAAUGAAAGUUAAAUCAGGGUCCAUAUCAUUUGGAUCAAAAUAAAAUAUAAUAUCAGAGUCUUUCAAAUUAACAUUAAAAGGUGUUUCUUUUCAAAUAAAAUCUUCUAACUCACACCAAAAUAUUCUGACAUAAGAACAGUCCCAAAAUAAAUGGUAAAGAGUCUCUGGGUCACAACCACAAAAUACACAACUCAAUGUUUAUAUCCCAGGACAAAUUAGCUAGCAACAGCAAGCUAGCUAAAUAGGACAAAUUAGCUAGCAAUAAAAAAAUAAAUAAAUAAAUAAACAAAUUAGCUAGCAAGUGCAAGCUAGCUAGCUAAUUACCAUAAAUGUUUAAUGCUUUUUCCACCUGUCCCCAAAUGAAUAUAAUUGGUUGAGAGUUUGUUUUGACAUUUUAACCUGCGUGUCGUGAUCGCGUUUGGUGUGGGGGGACGAAAUACCUUUAAGCACGAUGGCGCACGCGCGUAGCCGGUCUGGGUUCCGUGUUAGACUUUAUUCAGCAAAGAUGUCUGACAAAAAUACUCGGAUGGAAGCAAAUGUAAGUGAUUAUAACGCCAUAACGAAUCAUGCAAAAAAAAAAGUACAGUUGACAGGAAUAUGUUAGUUAGUGUAGAGACAAACGAUUAUGCUUUAUUUUUUAUCAUAAAGUUAAUUAGCGAAAAUCGCGAUUUAGCAAACUGUCUGACCAGCUGACAUUAGCCAGCUACGUUAUCUGCUUAGCUUUAUGGGUGUUGUGACAUGAGUAUGAAAUUGUAAUUGUGGUUGUUUAAUGUUUUAGGGACUCCUGAAACAACCAGCAAACCAGGCUGUCGUCUUGUGAAACAGUGGAUGUAAAGAAUCUAGCAAGCUAAAGCAUUUACUGCAAAUUGAAUUUACAAUUUUGUAAGCUUGCCUUCCUGAUAUUUUCUAUGCAGAUAGAUGAAAUAACGUAGUUAGCUAUGUUAUUGCUUAUUGUGCAGUGGAUGAUAAAAAUACCUGUAUGCCUAUGGAUGUGUAGCUAGCUAUCUAGCCGAUCUGUGUAUGGACCCAAACGUUUGGUAUACAUAUUAGUUCAGAACCUAGCUAUGAACCUCAGCUAUCAUAGCCAGUUGUAUCAACUUCAAAACAGCCUGAAUGACAUUAAUGAAGCCUAUGGAUUGAGUAGAAUAUAAUAUCAUGUUGUGCCAAGGAUGCAAGUCGUAUAUACAUGUAGUUAUUGCCAUGCAUGAGAUCCCCACAUUGUAGCCUGUAUAUUUAAUAUAUUCACUGAUCAUGUACUCUACCUUGGCAAAUAAAGGUGCAGUUUAGGUAUGAAUGUCUUUGAGAUUAUUUUUCAGUCAUAUCCAAUACCAGGAGUAUCACAUUCCAGUCUUUGAAUGACGCUGUGUCUGCAUGUAUGUAUUACAAUUAUACACUUCAACAGUGUUUACCAAUCUUGGUCCUGGAACAUCAUGGUUACACAUUGUAACUAAUAGACUAGAAACAGGAUUUAACUAGUUAAAGGCUGAUUUGUAAUGAAUAUAUACAGAUAUAGAAUAUAAAAACAAUGCACUACACUUCUUAUGCAUCAUGUAAAUAGUCUAAAACUGGUUCAUCUGUGUAUAUAUAAUGCCCUUCAUCUGCAUUGAUCUGAUAAACACAGAUAGGUGUAGUAUUUCAUUAAAUGAGACUUAAUUUCAACCAGUAGAGAAUUAAACGCUUUAUUGAAAGAAGUUCAAUAAACCAAGUGUUAUAAAUACAUGCAUUAUAAAUAUAAUUGUAAUAUUAUAAAUACAAGUUCAAUCUGUACAUCUUUUGUGCAAUAUAAAAACAGGAAGAAAGAGGUAAGAACAUAGGAGCAGGGAAGGCAGCAUAUGAUUAAUGAAUCACAGUGCAACCCAAAUAUUCUCUCAGUUCAUCACAAUUACAUAGUGUCUCAAGUCGGCCCGACGGUUAUCUUAUGAGCAGGUGAGGUGGCGAUGACGGGACUGGGGUUUAGCAUCCUCUCUCACAUCAAAACAUCUGCAGACAAGAGACAGAGAGAGAGAGAGCAUGUUUAAGCCUUGUUUUUAUUUUUUAUUCUAACAUUGGUAGUCAUAAUAAUCGGGUGAAAUGCAAAACUGACCUUGGAUCAUGAACUCUGGGACUACUGCAUCUCUAUUUCCAUGUAAAGCAUCUCUUUAAUAAUACUUCCUGUUGACUUGACCAAGUGCCCUCUAUGUAGCCAGUUCAGAUGCGGGAGGGCUUCACCGACACAUCUGAUAUAACCUAGAGGAUUUAGGGAUAAAAGAGGAGAGAGGGAUGAAGUGAAGGAGAGGGACUGUUAUUGAUAAAAUAAUGUUAAAAGAGACAGUGUUCAACAGGAAUCUGUGUGUGGCCUCACCUGGUGUCCACACUAAGUGGCUGCAGGGUACUUAAUGCUGAAAAACCUGAACGGGCACAUGAGGACAAACAAUAUAGCGUAGUUAUAGAAAUAAUGAAGUGUUUUACUAUUCUCCAUGGUUGGCCCUCUUGCCUAUUUGUUAAAGGUGGAAGGAGCCACAGUUAUACACUUGAGCCUGCUUACUGCACAACACAAUCCAUCAAUCAGAUUGAUACAUGAGUGUGUAGGUGUGGGUUAUAGGGUGUCUAAUUGUUCUACAUUUUUUCAAUAUGGGUGACUCUUAAAAGAGCCUGUUGUUUUUG
rnacentral:lncRNA from 8 species